GACGAGGAGGUGGGUGGAAGGAGGUGUAGCUGCUGCCAGGUGGUCCAGUGGACCGUGAGGAGGAUUCGGAAGCUGCAGGAAUUGUUUGAGGACACUUGAGGAACACUGGAUACGUUCUUCUGCUGACUCUAUUCCAGCUCAAACAAAGCUUGGGUCAACCGUAAGACCAAAGGAAUCCUUGGAUGCCUGGUAAGGAGGGCUAAUGAGAAUGUAGACUCAAUGGUUUUGUAAAUGUAUUAUGAAUGUGAAAGAGAAACUCCAAUUUCCUAAUGGGUGCAUAGGAUCGUACCUAAGUAAUUCACAUCGGUUCUUGUCCAUCUCAUCAUACACGGUUUUCUUCAAAAUACGGCUUAAAUGAAGAGGGAACCAGCAAAGAGCAAAAAUGACAACCAAGCAGAAAACUGUUUUUGCCACUUCUCGACGCUAAAGGAAAGUGAGAAAAAACAAAAGUACAGCAAGUUUAGUGUUUUUGUACUAGAUGGAAGAACUACACAACAAAGAGGUAGAAGAUAGCACAGGGAAAAACAACUCAAAGAAGAGCCAAGAGAAUGGACUGCCUUAGAGUGCCUCCACCUCUCAAAGAUUCUGAGUCCAACUUUGUAAUCAAGGAGUUGCUAAUGAUGCCUUUGGGGAGCUGCCAGGAAGGAUGGUGGCCUCAGAGCUGCUGCUGCUGUCUUCCAAGACUGAAGGAAAGUCGAGCCCAACAGCAGACCCCUCGCCUCAAGUUCCUUGACCACUGAACCAGCGGCAUCAGAACUUUUUGCUGUGGGAGAAAAAUCAAACCCUUCCUUGGUCGACUCACUGUUAUUUUGGGUUUUCUGUUACCAGCAUCCAAACACAAUCCCUAACUGGUAAAGUUGUUGCCUUUAUAAUGAAGAGAAAUCAGAGACAAGCAAGCAAGAAGCAAGACCAUGAGCCCCAUAGGAUAUCAGCCAGAAGGUGGCAAAGCUUUCUGCUCUAUGGUGGCUCUCCCACGGUCCCGGGUGAAGGACUCCAGCCAGCCUUGCUCUUCUACGGUUAGCACCUGCUACAGCUUUGAGUGUGACCGAAGGGAGCGUCUACUGCGUGGGUAGCACAUCUUGGGUUCUACUCUCUGUUUGGUUGAGCAAAUCUCUUAACUACCUGUACAAUCAGGAUAAUAUCAGUCCUACCUAUCUCACAGGGUGCUUGUUGGAAUCAAAUAAGAAAAAGACAAGGAAAUCCUCUUUAAAAACUUAAAAAAUGCUAUGCAAAUGUGAAGUAGCAUAUUAUUACUGUUCCCAGUCCCUAUUUAUUUAUUCUAUCAUAGCUUAAACAGGUUCAAUCAUGAUGCUAAUGCAAAAAUCUAUAUUUUAAAACACUAUUUUUUUUGCAAAUCUAUUCUAACUAAUUACUUCCAUCGCAAGAAUGAGAGGUAAUAAUUGCUUAACAUGUUGACAUCUGGAGUAUUUGAAGCAUUCAUACCCAAACAAAGUCAUACUAGUGUUUCUGAAUGUGAUUUUCCUGCUAAAUGUCAAUAAAAGAUGAUAGCUACCAUUCGUAUGGCAUGUUGGAGUUUACAAAGUACAAGCAUGCACAUUAAUUCCUUUGAUUCUCAUAAUAACAUUGAUUCAUAUAUUAAUACAUGUAAUUUGCAGAUGAAGAGUUGAAGCUCAGGAAAAUCAGUGCAGUAGUUGAGCAGAGUUGUGAUGAGCAAUGGUGCUUACACAUGGUAAUUAUAUAGGUCAGACUUACAGACUCCGUCAACAACUCACAUUAACGUUUGGUGUGGUUGGACAUCCUUAUAUACUUCUCUGUUGUGACUAAGAACUUACCUGCAGUCCCAGUUUUACUCUUAGAAUUAAUAUAAAUUAACAUUUGCUGAGCACCUACUCGCAGCUGGGCACCGUUAGGCACCUUGCAUGCUGUGGGUAAUCUCCAUUAUGUAUUAUUGUUACAUAUAUUUUAUGAGAAAGCAGAAGUUCAGAGAGAUUGAGCAAUUUGCCCAAGGCCACAGAGCCAACAAGUAAAAGAGUCAAAUUUUGUCCUCUAAACUCCACACAGCUUAUCUGUUCUAUUUCUUCCCAGGAGGGUAAACAGUCGCUUGCUAUAAACAUGUUCCAGUUUCUUCUACAGCUUUGGCUCCUCCAACAUUUUACCUCUUCUAAUGUAUGUGACCCCAUGGCCUGGCAUGAGUCUUACCUUAGCCAUCGCUCUAAUGAGGUUCAUCUCCUUUUUCCCACUCACCAAAUGCAUGGUGCCCAUUCCACGUUCUAACUGGACUUCUGCUACUGCACCUGAAAUGCCCUCUGUCCUUUUCUUCCCCGUCAAAUCCCAUCUUUCCUCCAAGGCCCAGUCCAGUCGCCCUCAUCCAUGAACAGUUUCUCCAUGACUCUAUCUCAUAUCCUGCCUAGCACAGGCUACUUUCACCAUACCUGUGAUUCUAUCUUCCGGUUGUUUGUUUCAUGGUUUGUGUUUGAUUUCAACAAGACUGUAAAGCCUUCCCAGGAAGAAAGUCAUAUGCUUCUUUUUGCCCUGAAACAGUUCCAAGCCCAGUUCAACAUAUGCACCCACAUACAUACACACAUGCUCUUGGCAAAAUAAAGGAAUAGUUCCUCUGUUUGGGCCCAACCCCCAGGACCACCUGUUUCUCAGGCCAGCUCCUCGCUUCACAAAAGAAAUUUCUGAUACCAUAACUUACAAAGGCAACAAUUAUAAAACAGUAUUUUUAUUUUUAGGAAACGAGGCCAAAUCUGCUAAAGACAGUAUUUGUAGGCCUGCUGUGGUCAAGGACUAAACCAGUCCUGGCCAGAUUUGCAUGAC